CCUACGGGAGGCAGCAGUAGGGAAUCUUCCACAAUGGAGGAAAGUCUGAUGGAGCAACGCCGCGUGAGUGAAGAAGGGUUUCGGAUCGUAAAGCUCUGUUGGUAGUGAAGAAAGAUAGAGGUAGUAACUGGCCUUUAUUUGCCGGUAAUUACUUAGAAAGUCACGGCUAACGAAGUGCCAGCAGCCGCGGGAAUACGUAGGUGGCAAGCGUUGUCGGGAUUUAUUGGGCGUAUAGCGAGUGAAGGCGGUUCAAUAAGUCUGAUGUGAAAGCCUUCGGCUAAACCAUAGAAUUGCAUUUGAAACUGUUGUACUAGAGUUUAGAAGAGGAGAGUGGAAUUCCAGGUGUAGCGGUGGAAUGCGUAGAGAUAUGGAAGAACACCAGUGGCGAAGGCGGCUCUCUAGUCUGCAACUGACGCUGAGGCGCGAAAGCGUGGGGAGCGAACAGGAUUAGAUACCCUUGUAGUC
rnacentral:rRNA from 1 species